AGCCGAAAGGGAUUCGGAUUGUAAGCACUUUAAGUUGGGAGGAAGGGUAGAAGUUAAUACCUUGUUGUUUAGUUAUACAAAGGGGAGGGUGUGCGUCCGGGGCGCGGUAUUAAAGC
rnacentral:rRNA from 1 species